rnacentral:rRNA from 1 species
AUUGAACGCUGGCGGCGUGCUUAACACAUGCAAGUCGAGCGGUAGCAGGCGUAGCAAUACGUGCUGACGAGCGGCGAACGGGUGAGUAAUGCUUCGGAAUCUUCCUAGUAGUGGGGAAUAACCUGGGGAAACUCAGGCUAAUACCGCAUACGACCUACGGGUGAAAGCAGGGGAUCGCAAGACCUUGCGCUAUUAGAUGAGCCGAAGUCGGACUAGCUAGUUGGUGAGGUAAAGGCUCACCAAGGCGACGAUCCGUAGCUGGUCUGAGAGGACGACCAGCCACACUGGGACUGAGACACGGCCCAGACUCCUACGGGAGGCAGCAGUGGGGAAUAUUGGACAAUGGGGGCAACCCUGAUCCAGCGACGCCGCGUGUGUGAAGAAGGCCUGCGGGUUGUAAAGCACUUUUAGUGGGGACAAAAAGCCAAGGGUUAAUACCCUUUGGUCUUGAUUUAACCCAAAGGAAAAGCACCGGCUAACUCUGUGCCAGCCGCCGCGGUAA